CUGCCCCACAACCCCAGCUACCUAUUCUGCCCCACAACCCCAGCUACCUAUUCUGCCCCACAACCCCAGCUACCUAUUCUGCCCCACAACCCCAGCUACCUAUUCUGCCCCACAACCCCAGCUACCUGUUCUGCCCCACAACCCCAGCUACCUGUUUUGCCCCACAACCCCAGCUACCUGUUUUGCCCCACAACCCCAGCUACCUGUUUUGCCCCACAACCCCAGCUACCUGUUUUGCCCCACAACCCCAGCUACCUGUUUUGCCCCACAAACCCCAGACAUCUAUUCUGCCCCACAAACCCAGCCAUCUAUUCUGCCCCACAAACCCAGCCAUCUAUUCUGCCCCACAAACCCAGCUACCUAUUCUGCCCCACAACCCCAGCUACCUAUUCUGCUCCACAACCCCAGUUACCUGCUACCUAUUCUGCCCCACAAACCCAGCUACCUAUUCUGCUCCACAACCCCAGCCACCUGCUAAACUAUAGUACCUGUAGCUAUUCUACCAACUACUCUGCUACAGUAACUACAAACAGGAGGAUCUGUUUCUGUUAGCUUUGGAAGAGACUGGAGACAUGGAGAUGUAGGAAAGAGAUCUUCACAACAACGGAGCCUGUUUCUGUCCGUAUUGUUAGAUUUAACCUGUAGCCUGUAUGAGAGGACGGUUCAAGUCUGAAUGAUCAGAACAGGCACUGCUGUUGUCUGUUUCUCUGCUGCCUCUCCCUCACUCCCUCAUUCCCUCCUCUUCUCUCCCUCAUUCCCUCCUCUUCUCUUCCUCACUCCCUCCUCUUCUCUCCCCUCACUCCCUCCUCUUCUCUCCCCUCACUCCCUCCUCUUCUCUCCCCUCACUCCCUCCUCUUCUCUCCCCUCACUCCCUCCCUCCUCUUCUCUCCCCUCACUCCCUCCCUCCUCUUCUCUCCCCUCACUCCCUCCCUCCUCUUCUCUCCCCUCACUCACUCACUCCCUCCAAUUCUCUCCCCUCACUCACUCACUCCCUCCAAUUCUCUCCCCUCACUCACUCCCUCCUCUUCUCUCUCUCAUCCUCAGACUACUCAGUACGCUACAGAGAUUACAUAGACUAACUCUUCUUCUCUGAUGCCUUGUGUGACUUUUAAGAAUGUACUUAAAAGCAGCCAUUUUCUUUUCGGUUAGCGUGUGUUUCUGAGGGAAUGGUUUUCAUGUUUUCGGUUAGCGUGUGUUUCUGAGGGAAUGGUUUUCAUGUUUUCGGUUAGCGUGUGUUUCUGAGGGAAUGGUUUUCAAUGCUUUCGGUUAGCGUGUGUUUCUGAGGGAAUGGUUUUCAAUGCUUUCAGUUAGCAUGUGUUUCUGAGGGAAUGGUUUUCAAUGUUUUCAGUUAGCCUGUGUUUCUGAGGGAAUGGUUAAAAAAACAGACUUCAGAUUCAAAUGUAACGACUCCAUUUCUAGCAUGGUUCAUGUGCACAAACACUUUUUUUUUUUUUUUUUUUAGAUCAGCUGCAGCGAUAUAACCUCUUCUGAAAGCUCUUGAGACUAAACUGUAUUUGGAAGUAGAUCCACAGUUUCAGAAUUCAUCUUUAUAUUGAUUGAUACAAUAUUAUGUCAGCAGCUCAACCCAUGUUUCCUUAUUCCAGAAGUGAUCGGGGGAAAUGGUUCUGUCUUUAUCAUGCGUUUAGUCUAUUUAAGAUGUUUUGUAUGUCAGAUUUGGAAUGAAAGUUUAAGAUAUGGAGUGAAUCCCGAAUGGCACCAUACUCCCUUUAUUAGUGCACUACUAUAUAGCCCUGUAGGGUUCUGGUGAAAAGUAGUGCACUAUAUAGGGAAUAGGGUGCCAUUUUGGGAUGCAUACAUUAAUAUAUGUCACAGUUGUAUCCUCGCAACAUUGUAAUUAAAUACGUGAAGCAUCAGCCAACCACCCAUCUGUUUGUUAUUGAAGGUCUAGCUAGCUAUACUCAACCAACCGCCCAUCUGUUAUUGAACAUCUAGCUAGCUAUACUCAACCAACCGCCCAUCUGUUAUUGAACAUCUAGCUAGCUAUACUCAACCAACCGCCCAUCUGUUAUUGACAAUCUAGCUAGCUACACUCAACCAACCGCCCAUCUGUUAUUGAACGUCUAGCUAGCUAUACUCAACCAACCACCCAUCUGUUUAUUGAAGGUCUAGCUAGCUAUACUCAACCAACCGCCCAUCUGUUAUUGAACAUCUAGCUAGCUAUACUCAACCAACUGCCCAUCUGUUUGUUAUUGAAGGUCUAGCUAGCUACACUCAACCAACCGCCCAUCUGUUAUUGAACCUCUAGCUAGCUAUACUCAACCAACCACCCAUCUGUUAUUGAAGGUCUAGCUAGCUAUACUCAACCAACUGCCCAUCUGUUUGUUAUUGAAGGUCUAGCUAGCUACAGUAUACUCAGCCUGUUGCACCAUCUCACUGUUUUACCUUCAAAACAUUGGUACCAUUAUAUAAACAGACAGUAUGAACAUUUUGUUUCUUAUUUUAUUGUGCAAAUCAAAUCAGUAUAUCAGUAUUGCAUGAAUUGAUUAAUAAACAUGACUUUACACUCA
rnacentral:lncRNA from 1 species